AGAACGAACGCUGGCGGCAGGCUUAACACAUGCAAGUCUAACGGGUGCAGCAAUGCAUCAGUGGCAGACGGGUGAGUAACGCGUGGGAAUCUACCCAUCUCUACGGAACAACUCCGGGAAACUGGAGCUAAUACCGUAUACGUCCUUCGGGAGAAAGAUUUAUCGGAGAUGGAUGAGCCCGCGUUGGAUUAGCUAGUUGGUGGGGUAAUGGCCUACCAAGGCGACGAUCCAUAGCUGGUCUGAGAGGAUGAUCAGCCACAUUGGGACUGAGACACGGCCCAAACUCCUACGGGAGGCAGCAGUGGGGAAUAGUUAGGACAAUGGGCGAAAGCCUGAUCCAGCCAUGCCGCGUGAGUGAUGAAGGCCCUAGGGUUGUAAAGCUCUUUCACCGGUGAAGAUAAUGACGUAACCGGAGAAGAACGACCCGGCUAACGUUCGUGCCAGCACGCGCGU
rnacentral:rRNA from 1 species